GGCCCAGACUCCUACGGGAGGCAGCAGUGGGGAAUUUUGGACAAUGGGCGAAAGCCUGAUCCAGCAAUGCCGCGUGUGUGAAGAAGGCCUUCGGGUUGUAAAGCACUUUUGUCCGGAAAGAAAACCUCCGCCCUAAUAUGGUGGGGGGAUGACGGUACCGGAAGAAUAAGCACCGGCUAACUACGUGCCAGCAGCCGCGGUAAUACGUAGGGUGCAAGCGUUAAUCGGAAUUACUGGGCGUAAAGCGUGCGCAGGCGGUCCGCUAAGACAGAUGUGAAAUCCCCGGGCUUAACCUGGGAACUGCAUUUGUGACUGGCGGGCUAGAGUAUGGCAGAGGGGGGUAGAAUUCCACGUGUAGCAGUGAAAUGCGUAGAGAUGUGGAGGAAUACCGAUGGCGAAGGCAGGCCCCUGGGCCAAUACUGACGCUCAUGCACGAAAGCGUGGGGAGCAAACAGGAUUAGAUACCCUGGUAGUCCACGCCCUAAACGAUGUCAACUAGUUGUUGGGGAUUCAUUUCCUUAGUAACGUAGCUAACGCGUGAAGUUGACCGCCUGGGGAGUACGGUCGCAAGAUUAAAACUCAAAGGAAUUGACGGGGACCCGCACAAGCGGUGGAUGAUGUGGAUUAAUUCGAUGCAACGCGAAAAACCU
rnacentral:rRNA from 1 species